rnacentral:rRNA from 1 species
GACGAACGCUGGCGGCGUGCUUAACACAUGCAAGUCGAACGAAGAGCGAUGGAAGCUUGCUUCUAUCACUCUUAGUGGCGAACGGGUGAGUAACGCGUAAUCAACCUGCCCUUCAGAGGGGGACAACAGUUGGAAACGACUGCUAAUACCGCAUACGAUCUGACCUCGGCAUCGAGGAUAGAUGAAAGGUGGCCUCUAUUUAUAAGCUAUCACUGAAGGAGGGGAUUGCGUCUGAUUAGCUAGUUGGAGGGGUAACGGCCCACCAAGGCGAUGAUCAGUAGCCGGUCUGAGAGGAUGAACGGCCACAUUGGGACUGAGACACGGCCCAGACUCCUACGGGAGGCAGCAGUGGGGAAUCUUCCGCAAUGGACGAAAGUCUGACGGAGCAACGCCGCGUGAGGGAUGACGGCCUUCGGGUUGUAAAGCCCUGUUAAUCGGGACGAAAGGCCUUCUUGCGAAUAGUUAGAAGGAUUGACGGUACCGGAAUAGAAAGCCACGGCUAACUACGUG